UACGGAGGGGGCGAGCGUUGUCCGAAGUUACUGGGCGUAAAGGGCGCGUAGGCGGGAAGCUAAGUCCGCUGUCAAAGCCCGGGGCUUAACCCCGGAAGGUCGGUGGAGACUGGUUUUCUUGAAGCUGCCAGGGGGAGAUGGAAUUCCGCGUGUAGCAGUGAAAUGCGUAGAGAUGCGGAGGAACACCGAUGGCGAAGGCAGCCCCCUGGGCUGACACUGACGCUCAGGCACGAAAGCGUGGGGAGCAAACAGG
rnacentral:rRNA from 1 species